CGGAAUCAAGUGAAGUCUACUUGUUGCGAGCCAUACGGGAGCGGCAGCGUCCCGGAGCUGUCAGAUAUUGCGCACAGCCUUCAGUCUUCAGUCAGUGGACUACCUAGACUAAUCCACCAGACAAACAACUCGGAAGAUUAACCUUUUUUAGCUUCGUGAAAGUAGUUUUCGUCUCCACACCCGAAAGCCUGUUUUUAAUUUUAGGAUCAUUUUUGUCACAUGGCUUUGGAGAAUUCAAUAACAACAAAAAAUGGCGACAAUCACGUUGCUCUGUGUGGUCUUGCUGCGUCAUUAAAAAUAUUCAUGUCAACACGGGGAAUCAACGGGAAAAUUGCAGGGGGUUUUUUUUUUUGGCCAGUGCCCUGAGCAGCGGGGCUAAUGGAGUUGUUUUCAUGAAGUGCGGAGGGCGGACUGUCGAGGAGGAGGAGCCGCUACGUCGGCCAGAGACGCCACCGGACUGCUGGAGAUGCUGCUCGCGCCGAGGGGGGCGGAGCCCGCGAGGAGAAGCAAAACAAGUGUGACGUCACUCGGCCUUGUGGUUGGUAUGAAUAAUACACAGCAGUUUGUCUCUACCAAGUCCUAGCAGGAAAGCGGUUUGAAAAAAAAAAAAAAAAAAAAAGUCUAUGUACCCAUAGCUGUUUUAAGAAAUGAAACAUUGACUCUGUGCACCGGCAGAAUGGAAGUAAUGAAAAACCAAAUACUUUCAUAUGGAAAGAGAUAGCAAAUAACUAAACAUGAUAACAUACGCAAGACUGUACAGCAAGCUUCCUCCUCCAAUUUCCAAGAACUGCACAGCAUUGUUUUAAGUUACAUGUGUAUAUUACUCUGUAGAUUACUCUGUCAGUAUGUAUGUUACUUGAAAAUGAUUUAUAUAGAAACAAAUACAAUUCUGGAGACUCCACUUGCAUAUGUUUUGUAUGAGAUAUCACCAAAUAUGCUGAAAAAUUGCAAAAGGCAGACUGUUAUAUUUACACCUGUUGACAUGGACGGUGGAUGAUGAAUGGAGUGAAGCCCCGACCUGCUAGAUUUGUCAGGCUGCCCUGGUUCAGUUAUCACAGUGCUGAUGCUGUCCCCAUCGAAGGUACAGUACUGUGAUAACUGAAGGAUGGCUGCCAACUUGACACGAGUGCAGUAAAUCAAAGCAUGUUCGCCUAACGAAAAAGAGGACGGAAGAGAAGGUGGACACGUGUAAGUAUGUUUACAAAAUACAUAAUUGUUUUGUUUAAUGAGAUAUCCAAAAGUGUAUAUGUUUUUAUUUACAAAAUGGUUUUACCUCAUUGAAUCUGUCCCCACAUUGUGGCAUGCUCCAAUAAAAUCGAUUAAACUCUAUUGUAUAUGUGUAUAAGAAACAUUAAACUCAAAACCUGUAAAUUAGAAUUACCUUCACAGCCUAUAUAACUUUUACUUCACUAUAAUAAAUAAAGUGGAUUUUUUUUUCAAUUAUUCAAAUGUGUAUGGUCUUUUAUUCAUCUUUACUUUUGAAAAAUUCAGUGGAUCUUAAAUACAGAAGGUUACAGCCACAAAACUAUUAAGUGACUGAAGUCUCCAUCUGAUCAGUUUUGCUAUUACAUUGAACACUUUCUGGCAGCUAUCUCAAUAGCAUUGCCAGCAAAGUUCAUUUAAGUGUUAAAACAAAUCAUGCAAAUUCUAUGAAGAAAACUAAUUUCCUGCAUUUAGUGUGUCCUCUUUAUUAUCAAACUCUAUUGCUUUGGAAGUUUGCAUUGCAGCAUAAUUCCUAACACUUUAUGAGUGUAAAGUUUAGAGUAAAAAUGUGUUCUUCAAGUUUUUUCCUGAUUAGACUGUUAGGACUGACCUGGACUGUUCCUCAAUGGGAGCACUGGUCUGCAGGCUGAAACGGAAGGUAGUCCUGAAUGGUUGUUCCACAUUGUUAUCAAUAGAGGGAGCUAAAGAUCUAUAAAUCGGUCUUUGGGGUCUCAAUGACAAGGCCUACAGCUCUGCCCUACUGAUCCUGAAACCUUAAUAAUGAAUAUGAUGAUGACAAAGUUGUGAAAACAAAUGAACUGCUCAUUUGUCACAAUUCAUGUUAGAUGUUGUGUAAAUAUUUGUCUGAAUCCAGUUUUGAUGGCAAAAAGAAGCUCUAUUUUUUUUUCCAUGACUAUGUGACUAAGAGGUUUUUUCCCCAACUAAGCAUUGCAGUUGAACAUGAUCUGAGACAGCCAUGUAUGAUUCAUAUCAGUUACAGCUAUAGUCUCCAUUUUGGUAUAAAUUGUCAUUGUUGCUUUAGAGAACCUUACAGGUAUAAUGUUCAAUAUGUAAUAUUGAUAUAUCACAGUUCAAAACACACUGAAAUGGAUUGUAUUUUCAGAACCCUGUUUUGAAUAAUACUUGCACUGUUUGAGUCAUGUCUGAUAAACCACAGGUCAAAGCACCUGUCCUUACAAUGUUUCACUGAAAGGGUACAUACUGUAGCUAUGGAAAUCCCCAGUCAUCAUACAUAUUUUGUUUUUGUCUCACUCUAACCUCAAUCUGCUCAACUCGCCUCGAUUCACAUGUGUUUUUCUGACUUACCGUGUAGAUACUUUGUGGUAAAGCAUACUUUUUUUGAUAAUUUAACAUGACAAGUGAGGUUUACAUUUCUUGAAAUAACUAUUUUCUAAAUGUGGUCAGGCAUUGAAACCCUUAAAAUGUCACGAUGAUAUACUCAACUAUUGUACACUGUACACCAAAACUCUACCUGCCACUGACGGCAGGGAAUUAUUGUGAAAUUCUGACAUACGUCCUUCAAAGCACGGCACUACGUGUUUACUGGGAUGUGGCAUGGGAAGUCCCUACCUUAAAAUUAUUUUUGAGUUAUUUUGUCAUACAGAAACCUUCACGUUCUUUCAUUGCAGGGAGAAAGUAGUUUUCUCUUUUUUCUCCACACAGAUCCCUCAACCUGCCAGAGCAGUAAACCAAUAGGCCUUACUAAACCUGCAAUGAUGUCAUUUGGUGUUGAAAUGAACACCAACAGAAUGAUGAAAACUGCUGUUGGCACUGACAACUGCACAUUCAGGACUGAUGUCAGAAAAGAAAAGGGAGAGGAAAUACAAAAAUACCAAACCCAACUUUUAACUUUAAAUCUCCCUUUUCAAUGCUGAAACAUUUGAUUAUGGGUUUAUCACGUGCUAUAGUGUAGUUAUAAGCAGAUAUACGUGUGUUUUAAUGUAUUUAUCAACAACAAUAUGUCUUCCUGGGGGCACGCAUAAGGAGAGGCCUGUGUAUCACAGAUAAUGAACGACACUAGUAAAACAUAAAACAGUUCAAAUAUCUACCUUGGAGAAGUUAUAAUUGCUGACAAAUACUGUAUAUUAAUAAACACAUAAAAUGGCAUUAUAGCUGCGUAAAAAUACAUUGUGGUGUGUUUAUCAAAUGUUGGUAUACUGCUCAUAAAUGCUAAAUAAGGGGAGUUAAAGUGUGUAAAAUGGUUACCCUUUAAACUUAUAACUAAAUUUUGGUUUCGCUCCACAUUCACAGAGCCAUUUAUUCCAGUACUACUUGUGAAAAAAUGACAAUAUACACUUUGUCUCUGUUUGAUCUUAGCACGCAGUCAGGGGAAACUCCAUUAUUUGUUGACACACAGAGAGCAUGCUGACUAGUUUUAAGGAGAGAAUUAGUCAUAUUUUUACACACUUCCUUGACUUAUUUGUCCAAGGUUCUUAAUUUCCUCUUUGUUAAGAUGUCCCUUUAAAAGCAGAAACUUGUAUAUCACAUGCAUGCAACAGAAUAUCAUGAUGCAAGACACAAAGUGUGGCAUACCUUUAACACUUUUAGGAUAUAUACACCACUGGAGUGCUCUCACACGGUUUCCAGUAUAAUAACCACAUCCAAAAGGGCAGUUAUGCAAAUAUGCAAGAGAUGGGGCCAUGCAGUGUUAUUGCGAUCAAAGGCUAUGAGUACAUGUUGUCAAAGAUUGAAAACACAAUCUCAAAAACACAAGGACGUAUACCUGCAUGUUUUUCGCUUACAGAAUGGCAGAGAUCAAUGAUAACCCUCUAUGCUACAGGGUUCAGAAGAAGUAAGAAGAAGGAGAAUUUUCUCAACCCAUGAAGGUCCGCUUAAUCCUUCAGUAUAUCAGAAAAAUUACAUUCAACAUCUGCAAAUUUGAUUCGUGACUUUCACUGGACAGGAGGGGUAAAAAAUGAGUUACUAAAGCUGCCAGACAAAUGUAGUUAAAAGUAGAAAGUUGCAUAUAAAUGGAAAUACUCAAGUACAAGUACCUCAAGCUUGUACUUAAGCACCAUACUCAGGGGUGGCUGAGGCUCAGGAGAGCGGGUCGUCCAUUAACGGCCAGUGGUUCGAUCCCCUGCUCCUCCUGUCUGUAUCUCCUUGGGGAAGAUAUUGAUCCCGAAGACUGUCUCAUUUGUGUGUGUUCUAUGUGUGUGUGUGAAUGAGCAUUAGAGCAGGGGACACCUUGUAUGGCACCUCCUUUCUGAGUCGUCUGAAGACCACCUGCUCUAUAAAUGUAUGUUCAUUUACCAAACAUUUAAGUAAAUGUACUUAGUUAUGCCACCGGGGCAUAUAAUGUACAUAUAGAUGUUCAAUAGAUGUUCAAAUUUAAAAGAAUUUGCCUGGGUGAUUUAAAGAAUUAUCAACCAUGUUGGAUUAAAAAGUGAGAUGUAAUGUUAAUUCUUUACCUUGGAUACAACAUUUGACAAAAAACAAACAAGUAGAUGAAAACUAUUCAAAGGUUUAUUUUUUCAUGGUUAAUCUUAUCGGACCACCUUUUUGUCUUUUAAAGGGGAGUGAGUCACCACAACUUGAGUAAUAAAAGCACACACACACGAGUCUGAGUCCAGCAAAGGGUUAAUGUCUCAUAUUGAGUGACGGGUUAAACAGCCAAUCAGCUGCCGAACUCUACACAGGCUAUUGCGUCGUUUUCGGGAAAGGGGCUGAUACUUGUCAGGAAGGGUUAGCGAGAACGGAGGAGGACUGCGUCUUUGCUUAAACUACCAAUCAUCAAACAAAUUCCGUGGAACUAACCUAAUAUUUGGAUACUGGAUAUUCAUCUCGGGAAGUUUUGGAAACAAGUAGCCAACAAACGAUAACGUAACUUCAAUCCAGUGUCGAGAGAAGCUACAACUUGGUCCAGGCGUCAAAUGUACUGAGUGAAACGGAAGUAACUUGCCAGCUGUCUGG